CAGCAGCCGCGGUAAUACAGAGGGUGCGAGCGUUAAUCGGAUUUACUGGGCGUAAAGCGUGCGUAGGCGGCUUCUUAAGUCGGAUGUGAAAUCCCUGAGCUUAACUUAGGAAUUGCAUUCGAUACUGGGAAGCUAGAGUAUGGGAGAGGAUGGUAGAAUUCCAGGUGUUGCGGUGAAAUGCGUAGAGAUCUGGAGGAAUACCGAUGGCGAAGGCAGCCAUCUGGCCUAAUACUGACGCUGAGGUACGAAAGCAUGGGGAGCAAACAGGAUUAGAUACCCCGGUAGUCCCUGUCUCUUAUAC
rnacentral:rRNA from 1 species